rnacentral:rRNA from 1 species
GAUGAACGCUGGCGGCGUGCCUAAUACAUGCAAGUCGAGCGAACGGACGAGAAGCUUGCUUCUCUGAUGUUAGCGGCGGACGUGUGAGUAACACGUGGAUAACCUACCUAUAAUACUUGGAUAACUUCGUGAAACCGGAUCUAAUACCGGAUAAUAUUUUGAACCGCAUGGUUCAAAAGUGAAAGACGGUCUUUCUGUCACUUAUAGAUGUAUCCUCGCUGCAUUAGCUAGUUGGUAAGGUAACGGCUUACCAAGGCAACGAUGCAUAGCGGACCUGAGAGGGUGAUCGGCCACACGGGAACUGAGACACGGUACAGAGUCCUACGGGAGGCAGCAGUAGGGAAUGUUCCGCAAUGGGCGAAAGCCUGACGGAGCAACGCCGCGUGAGUGAUGAAGGUCUUCGGAUCGUAAAACUCUGUUAUUAGGGAAGAACAUAUGUGUAAGUAACUGUGCACAUCUUGACGGUAACUAAUCAGAAAGCAACGGCUAACUACGUG